CGCGCCAGGCCAGACAGACUAACUGAGCACCCGCUGCAAGGAGUCCGCGCCCAUGGCGAGCACCAACAUGGCGUCGGCCACCUCGCGGUUCAUGCUGGCCGCGGGCGUGCCCACCGGCAGCAGCGGCGGCCGCGUCAACUUCGCCUCGGCGCCCAACCGGCUUGGCAGGAGGCUCGUGGCCCGGGCCGACAACGAGGCCGCCGCAGCUGAGGCGGCGGAAGGGGAGGGUGCCGUGGCCACCAAGCCCAAGGCCGAGAAGCCGCCGCCGAUCGGGCCCAAGAGGGGCGCCAAGGUUCAUAAUAUAUACACUCAUCAUCACCCCCGCAUGCGUGCCGUGUUGUCUAUGCUACUCAGACGACCGCCACCAAUUUGAUGCAAUUGAUUUGGUCUUUAAUUAAUAUGGUUAUUCUUG
rnacentral:lncRNA from 1 species